AAUACAAACCAGCAUGUCGUGGGCUGCGCAUCUAUAUACUACUAUUAAUAUACUACUAUUAAAGGAGCAAACAUGAAUUAGUCUAAACCACCAAACUUACUGUACACAAGAAAACCAGCACCGUCAGAUCUACUCCACUUAAUUAUAUCUGAGUGCCCGUAUUACUUCGGUGGUCUGCCAUCGAAACGAAUGGAGAAGAUUGAAUGUUCUACCAGUCUGCCAUCACGUCUCGGUUGCAAAAAAAACACACAUCACGUCUCCAACCUCAACCAUAGCGCCCCCUCCCCCAGCCGCCACAGAACUCCUCCCUAUUCCCAUCGCCGCCACCGCCGCCUGUCGUUCCUCCUCUGCUAUCGAGGGCGCGAGCGAACGGAACCAACCACCGAAGUAACCGGAGCGGAAAACAGCGGUGGAAUGGGGAGAUGGCGUUUGCGGCGGCGGGGGAGGAGACGGGGCGGGCGUCCUACAUCCGGGAAGGAUCCCAAGGGCCGGGUCAUCUCCGCCACAACGCGCACCGAUGUCGCGGCGCGCCUCGGCGAGCUUCGCGACCAGAUCCUCGCCCGCCGCGCCUCCUUCACCAACCUCGCCGCCCAACACUCCGGCUGCUCCUCCGUGCACGCGGCAGCGACCUAGGUAUACCUCCACUUGCCCCGCCUACGCGCUCUGCAGGCUGUCAGAUAGGGUCUCGGAUCGUGGAGAAUCGGGAUGCACCAACCCAUGAAGAGCUCGACAGCGCGGAGGUCCUCUCCGGUCAGGACUACGUGACCAGCCCUAGAUGCACCGCUGAGCCAAGAACUUCUCUGUUCUUUUUCUUCUUCUGUUAACCAGCCAAAACAUUUUUUCUGAAAACAAUCUGGUUUGUGAUGAACCAACAACACAAAUAAUGGUUCUCUCCGGCUCUUUUCUUCAAAGCAAUCUGAGGAAAGGGUGCGAAGGAAAUUGGAGCAUAGGCAUAGGCAACGGAAAAUUGCUCAGGAAUAUCUCCAUCUUAUGCUUACUGCUUUGAUGCACAGUCACUAUAAAAAGGGUCAAAACAAUUAGUGAGAUACUUCUCUGGAUAUAGAGCUCAUUGACACACGCCUAUAGUAUGUGGUUGAACAUUCAUUACCUUGUGGUUGGUACUUUGUCCCAGCCUCCCAAUCUUAAAUCUGAAGUUGUUCUGUAUGGGGGAGUAUUGUAUGACUGUGUUUCCAGGCUUAAAUCUGAAAUUGUUGUGUACUAUAUGUGCAUGCAGUGUGUAUGGUAUAACCAAUCGAUGUGCAGAAGUUAGCAUGAACCGAAGGGCAAUCAGUGCGCCACCGGAAGGCUCGGCAGUGCUUAUCGCCGGAGCUACACUACCAGCAAUGGCAUCCAAAUCUUCAAUAACGAUCAAGGUAUAUACAGUGUACACACAAAGAGGUCCACUUGUGAUUAUCUAAUUAUUGGAUGCAUCAGAUUAACGUGUUGAAUGAAUCACAUGUGUAUACUUAAGACAAAUGCAUUAAUGAUUAGUCAUUUUUCUGUUUAUCCAUUAUACAUGUCCUCCAAGGUAACCAUGUACACUUGAGCCCAAGUACAAUGCUGCCAUCUAACGCCGCCUGCAAUUUUUUAGCUCCAGGAACUUGGACCGUCCUGCAAGAAGAAUUAGUUGAAAAGGUUGGUCUAUGCUACUUGUCUAAGGCUGAGUAUAUGCUCUUUGUUGUUAAUUGCAGUGAUAGUAACUAUGAUUGAAUUGCUAAGGUGAAAAACUGACAACUAUUUUGCUUGAUGAGCUUACUCUUGUUCAUCACAUUGCAUACCUCUUACAUGGAAAUCAUCGAAUGUUCACACAUAUGUAUGUCCUUUCGUUCUCAUUUCCUACUUUUUAUUUCGAUCUUCCGUUUUGUGUGGAUAAUCCAAUUUCUUAUAUUGUCAAUGGAUCUAAAACAUUUUCACUUCUGAAUCAUAUUUCAAACUGAUAGUGCAGCUUCGAUGGCCUUUUAUUCCAUGCCGACAACUGUAUUUUGUACCAUUAAAAAGAUAUAACUACAUUUUAUUCCUGAGAGAGCAAUCUUAUAGGGGAAUAUAGUGUUUUGUUUGUGCACUCUCAUUUGGCAUCUUACUAUUUGUCUAUGUAUGACAGUUCUCACAUUAGAUGAUGCAGAAUAUGUGUAUAUUUUUACCAAGGAGUUCUAAUGAUUUGAAGACUGCAUAUGUGCAGAUCUAGAAACUCUUUCUUCCCCAGAUGGGCAAUGGGUCAAGCCGAUCCGUCGUUGGCUCUGAAAGUGCACAUGCAUUGCUUCUGUACACUACUAAUGAUUCGAGGAUUAUAUUUCUUAAUAACCCAAUUUUUUUUACUGUAAUGGCAACCAUGAUCAACUUUACAGAAAGCCAGGGUUAGUCACAAUUGUCUUUUAUUUCCUCACAAAGGUGCUAGGUACAGAUCAAAUUAAUGUUUACACUCGAACAAAUACAGAAUUGUGUUUGAUCUUCAGAUAGAGGCACCAAUUGGGAGGUAACUCACACUACUCUAAACACCUUAUUCUUAUAGUGUAACCAUAACAUAUUUUGCAUCAGGAGAUCACAAUUUACUUGAUUCACAUGCAUUUCUUACCACACGCAUAACUGGAAACCUUGGUCUGUAUGAUGGGGACCCUGGAACAUAAGGUGGAUAAAUACAGUAGGUUAUGGAUAUAUCGGAAGCUGUUCAUCACAUUAAUUUUUCUCAAUGGAUUCAUAUUAAGGCCGGGUCUAUCUGAAUGUCCAACAUAUUCUGUGGCUGCAACUGUACGUCAGGGGGAGUUACGGUUAUCUCAAAUCUAAUGGCAGCCAAUUUUUUUGGACUUAUUGAGUGUUUGCAUCUCUUGGUCAUAUAAAUCUUAAAGUCAGUCGACCAAUGAACUUUCAUAAAUCUUAAAGUCCGGCUGACUCCGUGGGGAGGCUGCUCUGGCUCAGGACUCUGCUCCCCGACACGGAUGUGGUGCGGGGUGGUGCGCGCGGAGCAGACCUUCCUCGCCAACCGAUUUGGAGGGUUGUACUUCCCCUAUGGUACUCUCUUCCCUGUAGGUUCCGGUUGAUGGCAGCUCGAGGUUGUCGGAUCUGGAGCAGAAGAGAUAGAUAUUGUAGGAUUGGGACCGGAGGAAACUUUGGUCGACUGGCCCAACAGUGGUGACGUCUCUCGAUGUCGUUUUCCUCCUUGGAGGCACAAUCGAGGUCCCUCCUAUCCACACCCGACCCCCUCCCGGAUGGAAGUCCAAAAUCUGCCUUGGAUUGGGCGGCGGCGGCAGCACCAUGUGUGUCGUACCCUCCAUGGAGGCGCCGUCUUGGGAGGCUUGGGUUUACGGGAAAGGGUUGCUGUAGGUGGUGGGCUCCGGGUGACAAGGGCUUGAGCGACGACGGUGGGUGGAGGUUGGCAGGUGGAGCGGCGUGGCAUCUACCGCGUCGAUGACGGUGGGUCUUGGCAGCAUGGUGCAGCUGAGUCUCGGCGACAGAUGCAUCCGGAUGGACGAGUGCAGGGCGGUGGCACUGUUUGGCGCCGUGGGAUGUGGAGAGAGGUUUUACGGAUUGUACUUGUACAGAAAGAGAGCAGAUUGUGUUUCUUUUCAGAAGAUACUUUUUGCCAGCCAUUGUGUUGCUUGCAAGCAGAAUACUUGCUGAUUCUACGGAAGGUGUAAUUUUUACUGAUUCUGCGGAAGGUGUAAUUUAUAUUGUGUCAGUCCUAACGUUAGUAUAUGCAACCUAACAUGUUGAAUUUACCACAAUGAGAACAGAAAGAAUUUAAUGUUGUAUAUGGUGUUACAUGUCAUAAUAUGUUUACCUGUUAGUUUGUU